CACAAUUAAGUAUAGUAAUUCUUUUUAACAAGUUAUUUGUAUCAUUAUACACUACACUUUUUUUCUUUCAACAUCACAAUGAAAUUAUUUUUUUUAAUCUUCUGUUCAAAUAUUAUAUUUAUGGUUAUUCAUAAUGAUCAUAACAUGUCAAUGAGUAAAGCCCUGGAUAUUAAAUUGCAAUGCACAAGAUGUAUUAAAUUAAGGCCAGUAGCUAAGUUGUUUGAUAACGGAUUUGAGUAUUGUACAGACUGUAGAAAUUAUCUAAGAAUAAUUAACGAUAAUAUGUGUCCAGUAAUUGAUUAUGGAUCAAAUUUCCUUGAAGAUUAUAAUAUACCAACAAUUAAACCCAUAAAGCCAUGUGUAAAUUGUAAAAAUGUGAAUCCAGUAGCCAAGUUUUAUGAUAAUUGCAUACAUGAAUAUUGUAAAGACUGCAGAAUGGAUAUAAGAAUAAACCGCAAAAUUCAUUGUAUAAUGAAUGAUUGUAAAGGAAUAUUUCCUAUAGAUAAAUGCGAUAACUGUAAAGAAGUUGUAACAAAAAUACAUCGUUACGAAGUUAUACCCAGAGAUAUUAAAAUAAAAUUUUGUGAAAACUGUGAACAAAAAUAUUCAAGAAAUGAAUUUGAAGAAUCACAUAUUAUGGCUUUAGGUAAAGCUAUAACUGAAGCUAACGGAGAUACGUGGAAAGAUCAGCCUCUCCCUCAGAGUCACUUAAGGACACCUCAAGUUUUCUUCCCCUUUUCUGUCACUUAAUAUUAUACAUUAAUGGAAGUUGGAUAUCCUCACCGGACAUUAGUUGAGGUUACUACGUAGAGUUUAAAAAGGGAAUCCGGAAGAAUAUGGAGGGGGACUCAGAUUAAAUAUCGUGACGAGAUCGAUGAACAGUUUAUCAGGGGAUGGCUGAGAAAAAUAUUCAGACCUCUAGGAUCAUCUGUUAACAAGAUACAAGCGAUCUUAUGUAAAUUAUCCAAAUCUAACGUUCAAGGUUACGUGAAUGUGCUACAGCAGCGGCGACAUCGGACGGUGGUGGUGAUUUAAUAGGUUUCAAGUUAUGUUGUGUUAAAGCCUUCAUUCGCAUGGCCAAGUCAUGGUCCGAAGGUACGCUUCAAAUUAAUGAAAAAGAAAAAAUGUAUGACGAAAAUGACGGUCCGGCAUUUUUCGAUACAAAAGUGUUUAUCCUAGAAAAUAGUUAUAAUCCAUGGGCUUCACAAUGGCCGAAACCCAAUCACGUUAGAAAAUUAACUUACAUUAAUAAUUUAUGA